CAUGAACUGCGGCCUUAACAUCCAUAGUUAGAUAAUUGACAUACUCAAAUAAAUUCCCAGAUAAAUUCGGCCCUUAAGAACUAGGAUCUGUCCAGAUUGGACAUACUCAAAUAAAUUCCCAAAAACUAAAUAAAAUUCAUGACAAUUCAUGAUAAUUCCCAACUAAGAGAUUCCCACAGUCAGAUCUCAACAAAACCGACCAGAGAUGUGAGAUCCGACAAUAGAUCAGUCCGGCCAAUGCCUAGGACUUUAUCCCUAAACCGGCCAUGGCCUUGGUCCAGUGUUCCCUGUCUGAAUCAAUCCAAUAACAUCACAAAAUACUAUAGAACAGGCGAUCCAGAAGAAGUAAAGAGAAUGGGUGCAUCCGCCAAGAGAACCGGUCACAAGGCCGCACGGAUCAUCCGCAGGCCCGGGGCUGUUCCUUGCAGUCUACACCACUAACCUUAGGCAUUAUCUCCCCUGGAGGCAAGUCCUUCUCCUUCUCCUUCUCCUUGUCCUUCUGUCUGGUAUCCAUCUUCAUGGCCUGGCCUUCCCACGAUCA
rnacentral:lncRNA from 1 species